CCUACGGGAGGCAGCAGUGGGGAAUAUUGCACAAUGGGCGCAAGCCUGAUGCAGCCAUGCCGCGUGUAUGAAGAAGGCCUUCGGGUUGUAAAGUACUUUCAGCGGGGAGGAAGGCGAUAAGGUUAAUAACCUUGUCGAUUGACGUUACCCGCAGAAGAAGCACCGGCUAACUUCGUGCCAGCAGCCGCGGUAAU
rnacentral:rRNA from 1 species